GUCGGACCUGCUCAGUGACAUGUUUAAUAAAUAGAAUAUGUUAAAUAGCUGCAGUAUAAUAACUGUACUAAGGUAGCAUAAUAAUUUGCCUUAUAAAUUGAGGCUAGAAUGAAUGGUUUGACGAAAGUUGAUCUGUCUCUUAUUAAUUUUUUAGAAAUUAAUUUUUAUAGUGAGAAAGCUUAAAUUGUUUAAAGGGACGAGAAGACCCUAUUGAGCUUUAUCAUUUUUAAUAAAAACAAUUAAAUUUAUUAAAAAAAUGAUUUUGAUUGGGGUGAUCAAGGAAUAAGAAUAAAAAAAAUAACUUCCUUAUGUAAAUAUAUUUGAUAAAAUAAUUAACCAAAUUUAUUGCUAACAAGAAUAAGUUNCCAUAGGGAUAACAGCGUAAUUUUUUUAGAGAGUUCUUAUUGAUAAAAAAGAUUGCGACCUCGAUGUUGGAUUAAAAUACNCCUUAAGGUAAGAGGCUUUAUUAGGUANAUCUUUCG
rnacentral:rRNA from 1 species